GACGAACGCUGGCGGCGUGCUUAACACAUGCAAGUCGAACGGAAAGGCCCUGCUUUUGUGGGGUGCUCGAGUGGCGAACGGGUGAGUAACACGUGAGUAACCUGCCCUUGACUUUGGGAUAACUUCAGGAAACUGGGGCUAAUACCGGAUAGGAGCUCCUGCUGCAUGGUGGGGGUUGGAAAGUUUCGGCGGUUGGGGAUGGACUCGCGGCUUAUCAGCUUGUUGGUGGGGUAGUGGCUUACCAAGGCUUUGACGGGUAGCCGGCCUGAGAGGGUGACCGGCAACAUGGGGACUGAGAAACGGCCCAGAGUCCUACAGGAGGCAGCGGGGGGGAGUAUGGCACAGUGGGCGGAAGCCGGAUACAGAAACGCCGGGUGGGGGAUGACGGCCUGCGGGUAGUAAACAGCAUGAGCUUAUGACGAAGCUGGAGUGACGGUAAUGGGUGAAGAAGCACCGGCUAACUACGUG
rnacentral:rRNA from 1 species